rnacentral:rRNA from 1 species
UACGGGGGGUGCGAGCGUUAAUCGGAAUAACUGGGCGUAAAGGGCACGCAGGCGGCCAUUUAAGUGAGAUGUGAAAUCCCCGGGCUGAACCUGGGAAUUGCAUUUCAUACUGGGAGUCUAGAGUGCUUUAGGGAGGGGUAGAAUUCCGCGUGUAGCGGUGAAAUGCGUAGAGAUGUGGAGGAAUACCGAAGGCGAAGGCAGCCCCUUGGGCAUGUACUGACGCUCAUGUGCGAAAGCGUGGGGAGCAAACAGG